GCCCCGUUCGUCUAGCGGCCCAGGACUCCGGGUUCUCAGCCCGGCAACAGCGGUUCAAAUCCGCUACGGGGUA
rnacentral:tRNA from 1 species